GCAGCAAACUUACAAGGCAGCUUCACAGAAAGCAAUCUCCCGUGCUGCUGGAGCCUGGGCUGUGAACUUAUUUCUCACCGAACGCUUUGGGAACCGGGCUCACGUCCUUCUCCAGCGUUCCCAGCACAGAACAGCUGAGGACUUGGAGAGAGGGGAGGCCUGCAGUAGAAAUCGGAACGCUACGUCUUGCACCAAGCGCGGCCGGCACACACAGCAGCCGGCAUAGGAGGCUCAGCCCCCCGCGGAGCGGCUCUCUGCAGAAGCGAUGUUGUUUUGCCCGUUCAAACACCCCCCUCAUCUGCGAACAGUAAACCAAAGAACGCAGAUCCCUUCUUCAGUCUCCUCUUUCAUUUCUCAGAAAUAAACCAAGAAUUCUGAGAGACAAAAACCCUACGGCUCGGCAAGCUUCCCCAGGGCUCAGACACAACGGAGAGGCUCUGCAGCUCCCUAAUCAGCUCAGGAAAGUGACUUGUGAAGCCCAGCGGCAGGAAGCGGUUUAUAGUACAGUAACUCAGCCCAUUGUCUGGGCUUUUUCAGCUCGCCUUCAUUACUAUUACCAUGAUAAAGACCGGCGUGGUUUUUUUCCGACUUCCGUUUUGCCCCUUCAAGUCCCUACUUGCUCUUGACUUUUCUGAAUUUCACUUUGAUACUCUGACACCUUGGUUGUUCUCCCAGACGGAUAUCAUUACAGGAGUGCAAAUAAACCCUGUUUUGUUUUGGUUUUUGUCUUUGUUUUUUGAUGGAAGGAAGGACAGGGUGCGUUGGUAACUGUUUCUAUUUAUUCACUCAGCACUGAGGUGAGGAAAAAGCGAUUAUUCUUUUGCCCCUCUUCACAUGUCCACCACUUGCCAAGUUGGCCGGACGGUCCCCCAGCCAAACACGGUCUGGUCUCUUCAGCUGGUAGGACUUGGUUGCUUGGGCUGCAAGGUGCCAUAAGAAUAGCAAAUGUAUUUCUUUGGCCCCAUGCGCAAAGUUCUCUCUUUAGUCAGACGCUGCAGAAUUCUGCUCCGCUUUCCUGAGAGUAGAAAAUGAAUCACAACUUCCGUUAUGGUUCACCUGACAGUGGCUUAAAUAGAUCGGUUGUGUCACUAAAAAAAAAAGGCAGUCAGCUGGUGAGGGCAAUACAGUCCUCACUCAAUCUCUAAGACAGAGUAAACAGGAAAACCAAAGUGGAGAUACGACUUUUUGACUCUUGUGAUGUUGGUAAGCCCCAGAAACUAAGGCACGUGGGAAAAGUGAGCCCAGCCUUGACAGGAGAAUGAUUUUUCUCAUCUCCAUCUCAUUAUCUGUCACUAGACAUACUGUUGCAUUAUUAGGAAGUGGAGCUGUAUUUCUAUAGGAAGACAGAUCUUGUUGCUUUUCAUCCAACUCCUUCUCAGCUCCUUUAUUUCUAGACCAUCUCUCCAUGUACAUGCAUACACAUCACCAUUGUGGCUCUUAAUUUAGCAUUAUAAGGAGACAUCGUUU
ensembl:lncRNA